ensembl:misc_RNA Y_RNA Y RNA
GGCUGGUCCAAAGUUAGUGAGUUAUCUCGAUUGUUCACAGUUACAGAUCAAACUGCUUGUUCUACUCUACCCGCUUCUCACUUCUGCACUUGACUAGUGUUAA